rnacentral:tRNA from 1 species
UCCUGUGUGGCUCAGUUGGUAGAGCAUGGUGUUUGCAACGCCAGGGUUGUGGGUUUGAUUCCCAUGGGGGGAA